CUCACAGCAGGUCGGGCCGGUGCCGGUGCAGGAUGGCGCAGAAGGCCAGGCCGUCGCGGAACGAGGCGCUGAGGUCGCGGAUCUCCACGCCGCGGAGCGCCCGGGCUGGAGCCCCAGGCUUUCUGCUCGCAGGUGGGUGCUGUGGCAGGCUGAGGGGAGCCUCUCCUGCUUCUUCUCCCCACAGCACGGAGAAGGCUGAACGCCUGGAGAAAAGCGCCUGAAGCCGAUGAAGUCACCAGCCCUCGCUCCUGCCUUUUUUUUUUUUUUUCUGCUCAGCCCUUGAAGGAGUGGGAGAGAGCAGUAUAAGCAGGAACUGAAAACGGUUUGGAGUGAACCCUAGUUUGCCUUAAAAAAAAAAAAAAAAAAAAAAAAAGGAAAAGGCAACCUCAUUUCUGGAUCCUGUUCGGGCUUAGAUGAGGCUGCUCUUGACAUCAGCAGCGCUCAGAAUUGCUAGGGCAUGAGCCGCUGCAGCAGAGGAUGUGAAAACAUCGGACAGCAAAGUACAUAUGGGACAUGGGUGUCUCCAGGGGUAGGCUCUGGGCCAGGGAGGGCUUUGAAGAUAAGAACAUUUGGAGUUGCAGGCGGUACUUCGCAGGAAGCCCUGGAAGAAGUGGAGGAAGAGCACGAUACGAUCUCAGGAACCCAUGACACUGGGAAGAUGGAUUGUCACAAGCAUUGGCUUGUAUGCUGAGUGUAACGAUCUGACAAGGGGAAGGGGGGAAGCACGCUAUUAAGCAUUUGCUUAUUUUGCUAAAGCUUUUUUUUCCAUUUCCAGUUAGACAAUCUAUACCUACCUCUGUGGAAGACUGAUCCAUCACACACUGAUGUCAAGCUUAUUGCUGCCAAUCCCAAAUCUGGAGUCCCCUCUUCCUCUGCACAUUUUUAAGUGGGCUGUGCAUUCCAUUCUCCUCUCAGAUCUCACGCUUAGCACCAUCCAUACUCCAUUCCUUCCUUGCUCUGUUUCAUUCUAUCACUCCCUGUCCCCAAAAGCUGUAACAGGUGAAAAAAAAUAGGUUCUCUGGGGUUCAGCCCCUCUUUAAGUGCCCAAGACAAGCUGUGGCAUAAAUCACUAGAAAAGAUACUAUGUAGAGAAGAAAGGAAGGAAGUAUUGCCACGACUUUGUAGCAACAGGGCUGGCUGCUCAGCCUUCCCCAGACGUGCCUGACAGAAUCUUCCUGCUGUAUCCUAAGGGAGCACAGGCUCAGGGAUGUUUACUUAACUGCCUUUUCCAGGGUUGCUCGCUCCAUACUUGCUCCCCUCACGACUGCAGGUCAGAGAGACAAAGUAGAUAACCCUGUGCUGCAGCUCCCUCUUAAAACCACGUUGACCAGAACCGCCUGAGAGCGCAUCUGCUAUCCGAACCUUGCUGCGGCACGCGAGGCUGAGUUUCAAGCGGUGCCAGGCACCACGUCUCACUGAGCCCAUCUUUCCGCUCUGUGAGAGAGCUGCAGCUCUUCCUGGCUCCAUUCCACAAGUGCCAGCCCCGGUCAGUUAACCUUCAGCAGUCCCUCACGAGGCGUGGAGCCAGGCAGCCCAGCUGCGCCAGGCAGCGGAUGGUCUCUGUGCAUCCUCAGGAAGACACUCUGGCAGGCACAAAGACAAGCAGCAACGUAUUCGCCUAUGCGAAAACAGCCUGAAAACACUGGAGGGUUUAAGUUGGUAAAUACAUGCAGUGAAACUUUGUCAUCCAAACACAUCAAUCACGGAUUAAAAAUGGACUAAAUCCCAGUAACACAUUUGAUUCGUUUUCUAUGCUGUGAAUUAGAUCAUGGAGAUGCUGCCUUGCCAGAGGUUCCUCUGUUGUAUAUCACAUCUACCUUAGCACAUUAUCUGUGAAAAACUUGGGCUUCGGAUAAUGAGAAAGCGAGAGGGGUGUUGCUGCUGACAGCUCUAGUCACUGUGCUGCUGUUGGUAAAUAUACCCAGGCAGAAGAGUCACAGAAUCACAGAAUCAUCUAGGUUGGAAGAGCCAGCCCUAAAAAUUAAAAGGACCAGAUUCUCUUGGAACACCACCCAGCUCCUGUUUUGCUGCAAUGCAGCAGCAUCUCAAUCCUUCCAUUUAAUGAUUUGGUUGCCCCAAACCCUUCAAAACCAGGCAUAAGUUCUGAGCAAGCACAACACCAGCAGCAGCAGCUAGAAGGCCAACAGGAGUCGCCCACUUAAACUGCGCUGCCUGUGCCCUGCCUGCUUGGGUUACGGGACUUCGUGAUGGGGAAUGCAACUUUUGAAGUUAUCUAGGACAGCAGAAACUUGACCCUCGUUCAAACACAGCGUAUAGUCCAACAAAGGCUUAUUAUUCCUGACUUCCAAACAGAAUCACACAUGAAGCCAGGCUGGACUGCCAGGACCCUCUCUCAGUGGAAAGGAAUGAAAGGGAGGGGUACCAGGAGGCAGACGGGGUACAAGAAGCGUGCUUUGUGUAGCUUUCCUAUUACACACGCAGGUUUUUUCUCUUGCACCUGUUGUUUCCACUCAAACACAAAACUAUUUAAAGGCAGUCUGCAAAAGGAGAGGGGAGAGAGAGGGUGUGGAGGGUUGAAGAUGCAAUUCAUUCUUUGCAUCCUUUUCUCUUCCCCAAUAUUUAUAGAUCCUUGCUUCCCCUUCACAGGACUAAUUUUCAGCUGCUCUUUCAAGGCACUGCAAGUUUGCCUGGAAGAAUCCAAGGUGGCUGGAGAGCUAGGAAAACGUUUGAAGCUUAAAGCAUUUAAAAGGUUUUAACAAAUCGAAUGCCCUCAGGCAAUUUUCUGGGGAAAAUGAACUCCAUUAAAUUAAGGGCCAGGACGUGGGCAUUGCCUGUGCUGAAAUAAAACACAGCCUCCAGCAAGGACAUCUCAUCAGAUGACCAAAGUUAAUAUUGGUUGAAUGUUUAAAAAUAUCCUUCCCUUCCUUUAAAAACAUGUCGAUCCACUUGGGAGCAUUUCUACUUCUUAAGAGCUAAAAAAAAAGAGGGGUGGGAAGACAAAAAGGCAACCUUCUAGGAAAACAACCACGACUCGGGUUUAUUCAAUGUGGAACAACAGCUGAAAGGAAUAAUAUUAGCUUGCAACUUUUUCCAUAUCCUGUGGAAAUGCUGUGGAACAGCUCCUUUUCUCCCUGUUCACCAGUCCUGCAGCCUUCCCUGUUCGCUGUGUGCAGCGCCU